rnacentral:rRNA from 1 species
CCUACGGGUGGCUGCAGUGGGGAAUAUUGGACAAUGGGGGGAACCCUGAUCCAGCCAUGCCGCGUGUGUGAAGAAGGCCCUCGGGUUGUAAAGCACUUUCAGUGAGGAAGAACGCCUGGUGGUUAAUACCCAUCAGGAAAGACAUCACUCACAGAAGAAGCACCGGCUAACUCCGUGCCAGCAGCCGCGGUAAUACGGAGGGUGCGAGCGUUAAUCGGAAUUACUGGGCGUAAAGCGCGCGUAGGUGGCUCGAUAAGCCGGUUGUGAAAGCCCCGGGCUCAACCUGGGAACGGCAUCCGGAACUGUCAAGCUAGAGUGCAGGAGAGGAAGGUAGAAUUCCCGGUGUAGCGGUGAAAUGCGUAGAGAUCGGGAGGAAUACCAGUGGCGAAGGCGGCCUUCUGGACUGACACUGACACUGAGGUGCGAAAGCGUGGGUAGCAAACAGGAUUAGAUACCCCAGUAGUC